GACUACCGGGGUAUCUAAGCCUGUUUGCUCCCCACGCUUUCGCGCCUCAGCGUCAGUUAAUGUCCAGCAGGCCGCCUUCGCCACUGGUGUUCCUCCGUAUAUCUACGCAUUUCACCGCUACACACGGAAUUCCGCCUGCCUCUCCAUCACUCAAGAACCACAGUUUCAAAUGCAGGCUAUGGGUUGAGCCCAUAGUUUUCACAUCUGACUUGCAGUCCCGCCUACACGCCCUUUACACCCAGUAAAUCCGGAUAACGCUUGCCACCUACGUAUUACCGCGGCUGCUGGCACGUAGUUAGCCGUGGCUUAUUCAUCAGGUACCGUCAUUUUUUUCGUCCCUGAUAAAAGAAGUUUACAACCCGAGGGCCUUCUUCCUUCACGCGGCGUUGCUGGGUCAGGCUUGCGCCCAUUGCCCAAUAUUCCCCACUGCAGCCGCCCGUAGG
rnacentral:rRNA from 1 species